rnacentral:rRNA from 1 species
UACGGAAGGGGCAAGCGUUGUUCGGAAUCAUUGGGCGUAAAGGGCGCGUAGGUGGUUCUGUAUGUCUAUCGUGAAAGCAUACAGCUCAACUGUAUUUUGUCGGUAGAAACUGCAGGACUUGAGGCUGGGAGGGGCUGGUGGAAUUCCCUGUGUAGCGGUGAAAUGCGUAGAGAUGGGGGAGAACACUCGUGGCGAAGGCGGCCAGCUAGACCAGUUCUGACACUGAGGCGCGACAGCGUGGGGAGCAAACAGG